GGGGACCAUCCUCCAAGGCUAAAUACUCCUGACUGACCGAUAGUGAACCAGUACCGUGAGGGAAAGGCGAAAAGAACCCCGGCGAGGGGAGUGAAAAAGAACCUGAAACCGUGUACGUACAAGCAGUGGGAGCACAGAGCAAUCUGUGUGACUGCGUACCUUUUGUAUAAUGGGUCAGCGACUUAUAUUCUGUAGCAAGGUUAACCGAAUAGGGGAGCCGAAGGGAAACCGAGUCUUAACUGGGCGUUAAGUUGCAGGGUAUAGACCCGAAACCCGGUGAUCUAGCCAUGGGCAGGUUGAAGGUUGGGUAACACUAACUGGAGGACCGAACCGACUAAUGUUGAAAAAUUAGCGGAUGACUUGUGGCUGGGGGUGAAAGGCCAAUCAAACCGGGAGAUAGCUGGUUCUCCCCGAAAGCUAUUUAGGUAGCGCCUCGUGAAUUCAUCUCCGGGGGUAGAGCACUGUUUCGGCAAGGGGGUCAUCCCGACUUACCAACCCGAUGCAAACUGCGAAUACCGGAGAAUGUUAUCACGGGAGACACACGGCGGGUGCUAACGUCCGUCGUGAAGAGGGAAACAACCCAGACCGCCAGCUAAGGUCCCAAAGUCAUGGUUAAGUGGGAAACGAUGUGGGAAGGCCCAGACAGCCAGGAUGUUGGCUUAGAAGCAGCCAUCAUUUAAAGAAAGCGUAAUAGCUCACUGGUCGAGUCGGCCUGCGCGGAAGAUGUAACGGGGCUAAACCAUGCACCGAAGCUGCGGCAGCGACACUGUGUGUUGUUGGGUAGGGGAGCGU
rnacentral:rRNA from 1 species